AUAACGACUCUCGGCAACGGAUAUCUCGGCUCUCGCAUCGAUGAAGAACGUAGCGAACUGCGAUACUUGGUGUGAAUUGCAGAAUCCCGUGAACCAUCGAGUCUUUGAACGCAAGUUGCGCCCGAAGCCAUUCGGUCGAGGGCACGUUUGCCUGGGUGUC
rnacentral:rRNA from 1 species